rnacentral:rRNA from 1 species
UACAGAGGUCUCAAGCGUUGUUCGGAUUCAUUGGGCGUAAAGGGUGCGUAGGUGGCGGGGCAAGUCUGGUGUGAAAUCCCGGGGCUCAACCCUGGAACUGCACUGGAUACUGCUUUGCUAGAGUACUGGAGAGGGAACUGGAAUUUACGGUGUAGCAGUGAAAUGCGUAGAUAUCGUAAGGAAGACCAGUGGCGAAGGCGAGUUCCUGGACAGUUACUGGCACUGAGGCACGAAGGCCAGGGGAGCAAACGGG